rfam:Pseudomonas sp. HPB0071 genomic scaffold aczIi-supercont1.1, whole genome shotgun sequence.
AGGCACGUAGCUCAGCUGGUUAGAGCACCACCUUGACAUGGUGGGGGUCGUUGGUUCGAGUCCAAUCGUGCCUA